GUACAAUUUUUUUUUUGCUUCUACAGCAAACGAGACGUUCCGACACAUGCGAUGGGUUCAUUCGUGAUGAAGGACGUGGGCCCGGGAGCCCACGCGGAGGUGCACAGGGGGUGGGUGAGAGAGAUGAAGACAGAGACGAGGCGUGCACGUCGCCCCAGAAGGGACGCAGCUACAACCUCGCUCGAGCGUUCGUUAAUGAUCCUUCCGCAGGUUCACCUACGGAAA
rnacentral:misc_RNA from 1 species